rnacentral:rRNA from 1 species
GCCCCGCAAGGGGAGUGGCAGACGGGUGAGUAACACGUGGGAACAUACCCUUUGGUUCGGAAUAACUCAGGGAAACUUGAGCUAAUACCGGAUAAGUCCGCGAGGAGAAAGAUUUAUCGCCGAAGGAUUGGCCCGCGUCUGAUUAGCUAGUUGGUGAGGUAACGGCUCACCAAGGCGACGAUCAGUAGCUGGUCUGAGAGGAUGACCAGCCACACUGGGACUGAGACACGGCCCAGACUCCUACGGGAGGCAGCAGUGGGGAAUAUUGGACAAUGGGCGCAAGCCUGAUCCAGCCAUGCCGCGUGAGUGAUGAAGGCCUUAGGGUUGUAAAGCUCUUUUACUCGGGAAGAUAAUGACGGUACCGAGAGAAUAAGCCCCGGCUAACUUCGUGCCAGCAGCCGCGGUAAUACGAAGGGGGCUAGCGUUGUUCGGAUUUACUGGGCGUAAAGCGCACGUAGGCGGAUCUUUAAGUCAGGGGUGAAAUCCCGAGGCUCAACCUCGGAACUGCCUUUGAUACUGGGGAUCUUGAGUCCGGAAGAGGUGAGUGGAACUGCGAGUGUAGAGGUGAAAUUCGUAGAUAUUCGCAAGAACACCAGUGGCCGAAGGCGGCUCACUGGUCCGGUACUGACGCUGAG